UACGAAGGGGGCUAGCGUUGCUCGGAAUUACUGGGCGUAAAGCGCACGUAGGCGGUCUUUUAAGUCGGGGGUGAAAUCCUGGAGCUCAACUCCAGAACUGCCUUCGAUACUGGAAGACUCGAGUCCGGGAGAGGUGGAGUGGAACUGCGAGUGUAGAGGUGAAAUUCGUAGAUAUUCGCAAGAACACCAGUGGCGAAGGCGGCUCGACUGGCC
rnacentral:rRNA from 1 species